rnacentral:rRNA from 1 species
UACGGGGGGGGCAAGCGUUGUUCGGAAUUACUGGGCGUAAAGGGCUCGUAGGCGGCCAACUAAGUCAAACGUGAAAUCCCUCGGCUUAACCGGGGAACUGCGCUUGAUACUGGAUGGCUUGAGAUUGGGAGAGGGAUGCGGAAUUCCAGGUGUAGCGGUGAAAUGCGUAGAUAUCUGGAGGAACACCGGUGGCGAAGGCGGCAUCCUGGACCAAUACUGACGCUCAUGUGCGAAAGCGUGGG